rnacentral:rRNA from 1 species
UACGUAGGGUGCAAGCGUUAAUCGGAAUUACUGGGCGUAAAGCGUGCGCAGGCGGUUUUGUAAGACAGAUGUGAAAAUCCCCCAGGCUUAACCUGGGAACUGCGUGUGAUACUGGAUGGCUUGAAUUCGGGAGAGGGAUGCAGAAUUCCAGGUGUAGCGGUGAAAUGCGUAGAUAUCUGGAGGAACACCGGUGGCGAAGGCGGCAUCCUGGACCGGUAUUGACGCUGAGGCGCGAAAGCCAGGGGAGCAAACGGG